GGGGCGGGCCGGCCAUGGGGGGGGGGUAGUUACGCCACUGCUACAGGCAUUUUGGUUGCCAGGAUUUUAUUAUUAUUAUUAUUUGUUAGUGUUUUCAUGACAAAAGCGUUUUGUAACAAGUCCCAUAUGCUCUGGCCCUGUUCAGUGUUUUACGUCAAGCUCACAGCUAGGACGUAUGUUGGUGUGUCGAUCCACAACCUCCAGCUCAAAGCGAUUACGUAAUCUUUUUAUUGUAACAGUUUCUUUGAAGAGAGAUUCUUUUCAGUAUUUUGAGAAAGAGGACAAUAAGGAGCGUUCGCAACGCGAUGCAGAGCGAAUGAAGAAUUGAAGUGAAUGUUUGAAAAAAUAGGUGAAUGAAUGAAUUUAUCAAAACAGCAUUGGCAUUUGCCAAUAUUCUUGUUUGAAACUUAAAUAGAAAGUAGUAUACAAGGAAUAUACAAUUUGUGGAACAUAAGCAAAUAAACAAGAAUAACAGUAAUUAUUACUCCUAAAGUCUACUUUCAGUAAAUAUUUCAUGGCAUGCAUAAUUAUAGAACAGAGGGAUAAGCAAGCAAGGUAGAAAGAAUGAGAGAUAAGAAGAGAAUGUGUGCGAGAGACACCUAAUAUUUCAAGUAUGGCAUACAUAUUAGCUUUCUCAAUUGAAUGAAUUCAUCAAAAUAUCAGACCCGACUGAGAUUGAGCAACAAUUCAAAAUGCAAGCCACUUGCUGGGAUGUCUAUGUCAAUAAUAAUUAUUGAACCGCAACAGCAGUUUCGUUUCGGAGCUGAUGAAAAAAAAUGCAAAUAUGUCGUUUUUUUUCCAGAAUUCAUGCAGGACGAAACUGAUGGUUUGAUUCACCAAUUUUCGACAAAGACUUUUUAGUUUCACGGUGUAAUGAAUUAGGUAAUUUUCCAAUACACUUUCUAUUAUGUUCUCCAAAGCGUUCUGCGUUGCGGGACGAAUACACCCUAUUAACUGCGUAAAUUUCUCCUCCCCAUUGUAUUCCCUCGAAAAUCACGAAUAAAAGUUGUGAUCAGUCGAGACGAGUGCUUUCCAAACUUUCGGGCUGUCACCAUGUCCAGUCCAAAA